rnacentral:rRNA from 1 species
CGGGAAAAGCUCAAAUUUAAAAUCUGGCAGUCUUUGGCUGUCCGAGUUGUAGUCUGGAGAAGCGUCUUCCGUGUUGGACCGUGUACAAGUCUCUUGGAACAGGGCGUCAUAGAGGGUGAGAAUCCCGUCUUUGACACGGACUACCAAUGCUUUGUGAUGCGCUCUCAAA